rnacentral:RNase_P_RNA from 1 species
GGUGCGGACGGUCUUAUCGCUCUCCGGCCUUGGCUGGGGGGAGGAAAGUCCGGGCAACAAAGGGUGCCGAACCUCGGGAAACCGAGGGCACUUGGCGGGUGACGGCCAGGUGACAGACAGUGCAACAGAAAGCAAACCGCCCCGAACGGCCUUGGCCAGUCGGGGUAAGGGUGAAAGGGUGGGGUAAGAGCCCACCGUGUGUUUGGUAACAAGCGCAGCAUGGCAAACCUUUCGGGUUGUAAGAUCAAAUAAGCCUUGGAUUAGGUGCGGCCCGUUCCUGUUCUUUUGAAGAUGCCAAGGCGGGUAGAUCGCUUAGAUAAAUGAUAAGAGCCCCAAGCCGUUUGGCUCGGGGAACAGAACCCGGCUUAUACGUCCGCAUUUUUU